rnacentral:pre_miRNA from 1 species
UUUGCACACCGGGUCUUCGUAUACGUGAUUUGGCAAACCGUUGGAAGAUCCGCUAUGUAAAAUU